rnacentral:misc_RNA from 1 species
AAGUCGUAACAAGGUUUCCGUAGGUGAACCUGCGGAAGGAUCAUUACCAUAUCCAAAACUUUACCAACCCACCGUGUGAACUGUUUGUAUGCUGUGGCCUUACAGCCCGGCAUCCAUUUUUCCAUGUGUUCCCCACAUGUGGGGAAGCAUGGAAGCAUGAUAACGCUUUUGAAACCGACCAUUGAAAACCUGAUGUUGUUUUUCUUCUUCGGGAGAAGAACCAUUGCCAAAAAAAACCAAUAGACAACUUACAACGGUGGAUCUCUUGGCUCGU